rnacentral:ncRNA from 1 species
UAAAGGCUUGGUCCUGACCUUUCUAUCAACUUUAACCUAACUUACACAUGCAAGUAUCCGCACCCCCGUGAGAAUGCCCCACAGUUUCCCCCGCAAGGAAACAAGGAGCUGGCAUCAGGCACAAUACACAUUAGCCCAAGACGCCUUGCUUAGCCACACCCUCAAGGGAACUCAGCAGUGAUAGACAUUAAGCCAUAAGUGAAAACUUGACUUAGCUAAGGUUUAGUAGGGCCGGUAAAACUCGUGCCAGCCACCGCGGUUAUACGAGAGGCCCAAGCUGAUAGACAUCGGCGUAAAGCGUGGUUAGGAUGAUUUAAUUAAUUAGAGUCGAAUGUUUUCAAGGCUGUUAUACGCACCCGAAAACUAGAAGCACAACAACGAAAGUGACUUUAAAAGGUCUGAACCCACGAAAGCUAAGGCACAAACUGGGAUUAGAUACCCCACUAUGCCUAGCCUUAAACAUUGAUAGGAAAAUACACCCCUAUCCGCCAGGGGACUACGAGCAUAAGCUUAAAACCCAAAGGACUUGGCGGUGCUUUAGAUCCACCUAGAGGAGCCUGUUCUAGAACCGAUAACCCCCGUUAAACCUCACCUUUUCUUGUUCAACCCGCCUAUAUACCACCGUCGUCAGCUUAUCCUGUGAAGGACCAUUAAUAAACAAAAUUGGUAGAGCCCAAAACGUCAGGUCGAGGUGUAGCGUACGGAAAGGGAAGAAAUGGGCUACAUUCUCUACAAUAGAGAACACGAAUGAUAAACUGAAAUAAAUAUCUGAAGGAGGAUUUAGUAGUAAGGCGGAAAUAGAGUGUCCCCCUGAAACUGGCCCUGAAGCGCGCACACACCGCCCGUCACUCUCCCCAAGCUUGAUUAUACAAUUAAAUAAAACAUUUUAGAUGCAAAGGGGAGGCAAGUCGUAACAUGGUAAGUGUACUGGAAAGUGCACUUGGAUAAAU